GGAUCCAGACUUUGAUCCUGGCUCACGAUGAACGCUAGCUACAGGCUUAACACAUGCAAGUCGAGGGGCAGCGGGAUUGAAGCUUGCUUCAAUUGCCGGCGACCGGCGCACGGGUGAGUAACGCGUAUCCAACCUUCCGUACACUCAGGGAUAGCCUUUCGAAAGAAAGAUUAAUACCUGAUAGUAUCUUAAGCACACAUGUAAUUAAGAUUAAAGAUUUAUCGGUGUACGAUGGGGAUGCGUUCCAUUAGGUAGUAGGCGGGGUAACGGCCCACCUAGCCAACGAUGGAUAGGGGUUCUGAGAGGAAGGUCCCCCACAUUGGAACUGAGACACGGUCCAAACUCCUACGGGAGGCAGCAGUGAGGAAUAUUGGUCAAUGGACGAGAGUCUGAACCAGCCAAGUAGCGUGAAGGAUGAAGGUCCUACGGAUUGUAAACUUCUUUUAUAAGGGAAUAAACCCUCCCACGUGUGGGAGCUUGUAUGUACCUUAUGAAUAAGCAUCGGCUAACUCCGUGCCAGCAGCCGCGGUAAUACGGAGGAUGCGAGCGUUAUCCGGAUUUAUUGGGUUUAAAGGGAGCGCAGACGGGUCAUUAAGUCAGCUGUGAAAGUUUGGGGCUCAACCUUAAAAUUGCAGUUGAUACUGGCGUCCUUGAGUGCGGUUGAGGUGUGCGGAAUUCGUGGUGUAGCGGUGAAAUGCUUAGAUAUCACGAAGAACUCCGAUUGCGAAGGCAGCACACUAAUCCGUAACUGACGUUCAUGCUCGAAAGUGUGGGUAUCAAACAGGAUUAGAUACCCUGGUAGUCCACACGGUAAACGAUGGAUACUCGCUGUUGGCGAUAUACUGUCAGCGGCUUAGCGAAAGCGUUAAGUAUCCCACCUGGGGAGUACGCCGGCAACGGUGCAACUCA
rnacentral:rRNA from 1 species